rnacentral:rRNA from 1 species
GACGAACGCUGGCGGCGUGCUUAACACAUGCAAGUCGAACGGAAAGGCCCUGCUUUUGUGGGGUGCUCGAGUGGCGAACGGGUGAGUAACACGUGAGUAACCUGCCCUUGACUUUGGGAUAACUUCAGGAAACUGGGGCGAAUACCGGAUAUGAUAUCCUGCUCCGUAGGGGGGGUUGGAAAGAUUCGGCGGUUGGGGAUGGACUCGCGGCUUAUCCGCUUGUUGGGGGGGUAGUGGCUUACCAAGGCUUUGAAGGGUAGGCGGCCUGGGAGGGUGACCGGCCACAUGGGGACUGAGGUAGGGACCAGACUGCUACGGGAGGCAGCAGUGGGGAAUAUUGCAGAAUGGGCGGAAGCCUGAUGUAGCAACGCCGCGUGCGGGAUGACGGCCUUCGGGUUGUAAACCGCUUUCGCCUGUGACGAAGCGUGAGUGACGGUAAUGGGUAAAGAAGCACCGGCUAACUACGUG